AGGUCACGGCGAGACGAGCCGUUUAUCAUUACGAUAGGUGUCAAGUGGAAGUGCAGUGAUGUAUGCAGCUGAGGCAUCCUAACAGACCGAGAGAUUUGAACCU
rnacentral:rRNA from 3 species